GGGCGGCGUUGCCAGCCUCCCCGUCUGGAGCGGGCUGCGCGGGGGCCGCGGCGGGGAGCGCCGCCGCUCCCCAGCGCUCGUCACAUGGCUCUUUGUUGUGCUCCUUCUCCUGCCCCUCCUGGGCUUCCCCCCCGCCGCCGCCGCCGUCUCCGCCGCUGCCCUGCCUCCCGCCGCCCGCAGCCGGGGGGGAUGGCGGGGAGGAGCCGCCGCGGCCUGGCGCGGCCCGGGUGCUGCAGCGCCGAGCGCCCCGCCGGGCCCCGCCGCCGGCUGGGGGAGGCGGCCUCGCCGCGGGCUGCCCGCCGGGGCCGGCGGCCGGGCGAGCCGCCAUGGGCGCCCUGAGGUGUUACACGUGCUUUUUUCUCUUUUUCUUUCUUUCUUUUUUUUUUUUUACUUCUUCCAAGCAGAUUUUCUUCCCGCUUGCCUAGGGUGGAGGUGUGUGGGGGUUAUUUCGGAGCUUCAGAAGCUCCGCGGGGAGUUAAACCUUGUACUGCACGGCAGACUAAAAUUAGCUGAGAUAGGAAAGCCCGGCUUGAGCAACCAUUUCAGAGGGCAGGACAGGGAGGAAAGCAAACAAACAGAGCGAGGCGUAGAGGUGGCGUUCCCGGUAAGGCUAGAGCAGGACCGUCCUGUGGACCUUGUGGGAGGGAAGAAGGUCUAUAAUCCUUGUGUGCAAUUAAUCAUUGUUCAGAAUGGCCGUCUCCGAGGCUAGGAUUUAUGAACUGCUCCAGCUGGGAGAGUCCUCGAACGUGUGCCGAAAACUGUGAAUGUGCAAACAAGGGCCAGAAAUUGCUGGGGCAGCAAGUGUUGUAAAGCUCGCUAGUGGUACCGACCUAGCGAGUUGUGUGGGUCCUCAGCACCUGUGACAAUUGUUCUGGUAAGUCUGAACUGAAAACUGCUUUACUUUUUUAGUUUCUAAAUGACUAUUACAUUCAGUGUAGUUUAAAAGUCACCGAGGCAGUUGAGACCAGUUGCACUCCCCAGAGUGGGUGGUUUAAUGGCUGAACAUCAUAUCUAAAAAGCUAGAUGUUCUGGUACAGCGUAUUUAAAUCCCAGAAAGGUCAAACCAGACUUUCAUACUUGAGUUAGAUUGACCCUGGCUUACUGCAUGAGACUCUUUAGAGAAAGAAAGAGAUCUUUCAGGAGGAAAAAAAGACAGAAAACAAAAAAGACUCUUGCUCUGAAUGGCCUGUGGUGAGACUGUGCACAUUCUUGAAGCAACAGAGUUUGCUCUUGCCCACAGUAUCCUGCUAUUUACUUUACCGUUCAGUUGAAAACUCUGUGCUAAUUAUUUUAGUGUCUGUUAUCAAUAAGAAGUGAUUUAAUUCCUUUGGCAAAGUGUUGCAACUAAAGCAAACUAGAUUGAGAGGCAAAGUGAAAUAAAAAAUAUGCAGCUGUUCUGCCAAACAAUGAUUGUGACUGUUUACAACGUUUUGUUUUAGACUGGCUUGUACACAGAAUCCUUUAUAUUGAAGGUUUUCAUGUCACAAUCCAUUGCUUGUCUAAGCAAACUAGAUUAAUAGCUUAUAAAGGACAAAAGAGACCUCUAGGUUCAUUUGGUCUGACUUCCUGCAGGUCAUAAGACUUUUGUGCAUUAGCUGCUUUUUCACAUCUGAAAGAUGUAGUUGAACUACAGCAUACCUGUAUCCUAGAAAAACAUCAAAUCUUAAUUUAAAAGUGGCCGGUGAGAAUAAAGUAAGGGUUGGUAAAUUGUUUCCAUCAAAACUCACCGGAUAGACUAGAAAUGAAGACACCUUUUUAAACUGAGUUUUGUUUACUUUCUGCUUUCAGUUAUUGGACCUUGUUAUAUCUUAGUUUGCUUGACUGAAGAAUGCUGCAUUACCAGAUUUCUGUCCCCAUGUAGCUGUGUACAAAUUGAUCAACCAAGUAUUUAUCAUUCCCUUUGGAGACUUGCAGAGCUCCCCCCAUGGUCCAUGCUUACUAAUCCUGUAAUUAUUUCUAUCAUGGUUCCCUGUGAAUACCCUAGUUAUUCAGCGUUUUGAUCAGGGCAACCAGAACAGGACAGAGUAUACCAGCUGCGAUCAGACCAGUGGCGACAGCAUUCUCAUCUGCAAUUCCUGUUCCGCAUCCAGGGAUUACGCUGGCCCAACAUGAGCUGGUUUUCCAGCACAGCUCCUAAAAUGCUAUGAGAACUGUUCCUUCUCAGGAUGGUGUCCCCGGCCUGUUGGUUCGUGUGCCUUGUUGUGUGCUGCUUUACACUCGCCUCUCUUGAAAAGGACAGUGCUUUAGACCAGUAUUGCUCUGUGCAAUGGCCUUCGCAUUCGACACCCCUCUGCUACUGUUGUGCCUCACCUACAAACUUCAAUGAUAAUGGUUUUAUAUAUUCUUCCAGCUCAUCGAUAAACAUUGCUUCUGUCUCUACUGUAGCAGCUUCCCAAUUCCAGGCGUGUGUAUGUCCCAAAGAGUCCUGUCAAAAUUGUGUCAGGAGGAGAUCUGGAUCUACACUGUCCUCUUGCCACACCUCAGUUCCAUGGGAAGAAAACCCCGUUUAGGAGCUGGAAGGGAGCUUCAAAGCACACUGCAGGACUUGCACACCCAAGUGUCUAAAAUGUAGCCAUUAAAUAAUGGGGGGCCAAAAAUGGAUGAUUGCCAGACCCUUAACAGAAAGACAACAGCUCUAGGACACACUGAUCACAAUCACAUUUUGAGACCUUCCCAUUGGAUGGAUUUUAAUCCAUUUGAUCAUGCCUUCUUGAUUUUAUAUUCUGUUCCCCUACUCAUAAUAGUGUAAAUGCUUCACAGAAACUGAGUAUGGCCCAUCAACACUCCUGUGGAAAUCUCCUACCAGUGUUAUUACCAUUCACCACCUAACCUUCUAAUUUCUUCCAACAGUUUCUCUCAGCAGAUAGACUCAUGCAGUUUUGUUUCCUAUGGAUUUGCAUCCAGAAAUUCUCCUGAUUAAUCUUCCAGCUUUUUCCCAGUCUUGCUCUCCCUGCUUGGCUGAGCAAGAGGUAAAGACUGGUUGGGAGCUUCCCAGGGGCCAACUAGCCAGUUGUUGCUGCCCCUUGGUAAGGGCAAGGGCCUGCCUUUCCCUGAGAUACUAUGUACUCUACCCAGCUUUUCAUUCAAGACCUAAGGAUGUUUGAGGCUUUGGCCCCACUGCCAAAUUCAGUUGAGAUGGGAGGAGAGAGAGGAAAAAUGACAGAACAACACAGUCGCAUUACACUGUUUUAUUUUUAGGAAACCAGACUAAAAAUAUCAAUGGAACAUUGAGUAGGACGAUGGGCCAGGUACUUGCUUGUUCACUGCUUUUGCUCUGACAUUUUUAAUAUCCUCCUAAGUAUAGCAAAUGAUACAGCUAGGGAAUUUCUUAGACAAAGCAUGCAACCUCCCAACAGAUUUCACCUGUGAUCCACCACACACAGAGUGCAUGGGCUAUAUGCAUUGAAUAAUGAGCGGGAAUCGCUGGUCUGCUGUGUUGUUUUGGCUACCUGGAUACAGAGGGAUGUACAAUGAUGCCUGAGUGGAACAAACACAUUCUUUUUCUAUAGACCAAGAUCCAUUUGACUUUUGAUGGGCAUCUUGGACAUUUGCCAGGGCUGUUUUUUUUUUUAAACUGCAUCUGUUCAUUAUAUUUCUGUAAGAAUUAUGACAAAGCCACCUCUGCAAGACAGGCAGAGUGCUUUUAGAGAUCUAAUCAUUCUUCAGCUAUAAAAGAAGAAAAAAGCUAUUUCAACACCUAACUUGCAGAAUGCUUUGUGUCACUUCUUGCCAUUGAAAUGCAGCUACUAUUGAGAUGCUAUGAUCCCCUCACUACGUACAAUCAGUUAUUUUUUAGAAUACUUUCAAACUUACAAAAAUCAUUAAAUAAAUCAAGAAGGUUGGCAAUUUUCAUCAAUAUUCUAAAGCCAUCAAAUUACUAAACAUUUUAGUUCAGUACUCCAUGGCCUAAGCAAUACAGUCUUAAAAAAAAGUGUUUUUUAAAUUCUGGCACUCAGAGCUUGCAUCGAGAGGAAAUGAAGAUACAGAUUUAUAAGCAGUAAUCUAAAAGGAUAUUUAUGCAUUAAAAUACUUGUGUACCAGACUCCUAGCAUUAAACAGUCAAGAUGUGCUGGUAGCUGGAAACCGGUGAGCCUUUUUAACAAAUAUAGCACAUACAGGGAAUAUUCAAAGUGGCGGAUUAUAAAAUGUUACAGCCCGAGAAGUAGUAACAGAUUUCAAAUAGAAUUAGUUUAACUUACAUAUCUGAGCAGUUUCUAACUGGCAUGAUGCAAACCGUGUACAAUACAAAAUCAAGACAAUUUUGCCCUUGACAUUGUCACCAUUACUCCUGAAUCUGCAGUUAGAAAUCAGUGUUUUGACUUAUUUUUUGACAGGACCGGUCAGGAGUACCCCAGCUGGUCCACUGAGCCACGGUUUUCAGCAGAAUGGCCCAAAAUACGCAGUUAGUGAAUGUUGUGCCGUCCGCUGCCGCUCUACGCUACCGCAUAACAGCAGCUCGCAGUUGCUAAGCAGCUGCAGAGCCGUCCUCGCCUUCGCUACCCAUCAGCUGUUGUAGGGAGCAACAUGGGCUCCCUGGUCGGCAGCGAGGAGCAGGCAGCAUGAAAACAGGAGCAGUGGCCAUAGCAAAAUGGUUUCUUUUCUGGCUGGCUGGUGGGGCCCCCUGGCAAAAACGCUCAAGCGAAGUGAAGGGACACUUGAUGGACCAGAAGCAGGGGGCGGAGAGGAGGGGAGAGGGGGAGCUAGCAUAUGUGCACAGCGGCGGUUACAAAGACAGCAGAUCUUAGCAGAGCAGGGGGGACACACUGAGGAGAAAGAAAUGGGAGAGAGGCCAAAUGCACAGUGCAGAAUAAAAAAAACCCAGGAGGAGAGUGCAGCAUAUGGAGAGGGGAAAUAAAGCAGAACUUGCACAGCCUGCAAAUAAUUGAAUAGAAAAUACAGAAGGAGAGGAAAAGAGCUUGAUUCAUGACUGCCUUUCACCUUGUGGAGACGGUUACACCCGGGAAAAGGAGGUGCGGAGUACAUGGCAUCUUUGAUGUUUCUCAGUGAACUCUAGGUUUUACUUUUCAACCCAUGUCAUUUGUGGUUUUCUACCUGGAUAGCCUCUGCCUUUUGUUUACAUUUGGUUCUUGCAUGCUCUGUUCUUACUUUGCCUAGUUUCCAGUUUAUUUUCAUAGCUGUUCUGGCUUUUCUGUUUUUUCAAGGCAUGUCUUAAAAUAGCCUUUCCAGAUAUUCUCAUUGUUUUACCCCAAAGAGAUUUUUUCUGCCUGCAGGACAUUGCUAAUCCCCAACUGAAGUUAGUUUCUACUAAAUCCACAAAGCUCUGUCUGCUUUUCUCCCCCUUUCUCUCCAGGGAGUUGCUGAUGGAGACCAGGGUUCCCUUUACUUCCUGACACCGUCCCCUGCACGCUCUGUCACUCCUUUUCCCUGCGCGAUGCCUGUCAUCUGUCCAUGCAGACUUGCUGCUCUCAGUGCGCAGGAAGCGGUUCCUGGGGCAGUAAAUUAUCACAUGCUACUGCCAUAUUACAAAAGGGGUUAAAACAUGUCAUGAACAUCUGCAGGGUCGUUCUGACCAAAAGCGAUUCUAGUCCCCUAGCUGUUCAGCUGCCCAUAUAAAAAAGAUUUCAUAAUCUCAGUGCCUAAUAUGCGAUUGCCUGCAUUACAGGAAACGCCACUGGCGUUGGCAGAGAAGCGGGGUACCUACCUGGUCCUCUCUCCAGCUCCUCCAGGCAGAGGGUUGAGGGGCACAUUUGUACAGGAAGGCAGGGAGAGGAAUUAAAGCUCAUGCAGCUGUUGCCCUCCUCUGUCGCCAACCCUGGCUUGCUUGGAGGCCUGUCAACUGAGCGCACUUUUCCCCAGGUCUGAAAUUGAGUUAUAAAAGGAAACUAAAGCUGCCCAGACCUGCAACGGAAAGGAUUAGCUAUAGGCUCUGUGUGUAUGCAUGUUUUUCAAGCCAAUACAAAACUUAACAAAUGGGCAGCCAGAUGUGGUUUAUACUUUGAAGAUUUUGUCUUAGGAUGUCUGAUUUGGAGUAAUUAUGUUUUGCCUCCUCCUUCCAUUUGUCUGGUGUCCUGUAUCUGUGCCUGAAGAGGCACCGUCUAUACUAUUGUUAGACACUAAGAUCAUUAAAGGUCUAGCAGCAUUGUCAUUUUACAAGUAGCUUCAGCUGCCUGUCAUGUAGAGGCAUCUUUAGCAUUAUCGGACAUGUAAGUAAUUAGAAUGGUUUUAACCAGGAAAUUUCCCUGCUGUAAGAAAUCAGAGUUACUACCCUAUUCCAAGGAAGUAACUGGGAGCUUUACAGCAUGCCCGCGCUGUUACAACGAGAGUCAGGAAGGGUGAAAUGUGUGUAGGAAGAAAAAAAUUGCACAGGAAACAUGCAAUCAAGGACAGCAGUAUCAAGCUCGUUCGUGGCAGAGAGCCAGUCCCCAAGUUUCGAGUGACCUGGGGGCUGGAGCAGCCCCGGCCGGCUGCUGCCCUCUAUGUGCCUGCACACAGCAGAGCAUGCUGCCGCAGCUAUUUCUCAAACAAGUUGCGGAGCCGCUCUGGUGCUUACAGCUAGGCCUUCCCGCCUGGCCAGUACGCACCGUCAGCCUUCCCCCGAGCCUGGCACAGGCCGAAAAUCACAGUUCUAAACCAAAUGUGACUUUACCACUGGGUUUAAUUCUCAGCCUUUCAAGUUAUUAGUUAGGCUGCUCUGAAGCCUUGCUGUUUCUUUCGGGAGUUUGCCCUGGCUGGUUUAAGGGCUACCUUCAGGUCUGGGAUGAACUCAGUCCGGGGUUCUCUUGUGCCUAGGGAUGUUCUGACAAGCCACAAAGCUUCCCGGUUCCUGUCACCCCCCCCCCCGUCCCUACGUGUGAGCUCCGUCCCAGCUAGACACCAGCAAGCACCACUGCUUCCUGCUUAGUGCUUCCCUACACACAGCACUCACGGAAAAGCAGGCAGAACUGAUGGUGGCUCCCACAGGGACAUAAUCAGAGGAUUUUAUCUUCUCUUCAGUCUGCAGUUUGUGCCCUCCUGUAGGAAGUUUGCACGAAGAUCUGAGAGAAGCGACACACUUUGCACACUAACUGCCCUUUAACAUCGAUGCCACAGGUUACUCAGCAAAAGCCUGCCUCUGUUUCAGCACAGUCCUCUCCCUCACAGCCUCCUCCAUCCAUUCUGCUGUCCUUUUUUCUCCCCCUAUUUUUGUCCAAAAGGUUUCUGAGAGCUUCCUGCCUAGGCCAGGUGCUGAAGUGAUGGGUGUUGGAUGGCUGAUGGUGGCAAUGAAGUGUGAAGCCUGACUCUUCCAGUGGCUCUGAAAACCACUGCUUGUUCAGGUGGCUUCAUGGCUCACAUGGGGGAAGGCACAUUUAGCGAGCCAAAUCUGGGAUCAUUUGAACUUGAGGUUCUUGAAAGCCUCACAAAAAAUACAAUUUACAUAUUUCAGGAUUAGUGGAAUCUACCAAUCAGCUUGUGGGGAGCUUAACCCAGAUUCAACCAUCCACAGUUCAUACAAGCUGAAUGCAUCCUGCAUUCAAGUGCUGUGGCCAUCCUAAUUAACAUACACUCCUGUUGGCCUCAGUCCUCACCUUGUCUCUGAAUCACAAAGUACAUUAAAAAAAAUCACUCUCUACCAGGAAUUAAGUUAGGAAAGAGAAAAGAAGGGAAAAGUAAUCUGAAGAAAGCAGACAGUGCAGAAGGCACUCUGUUUUUGAAAAAGACUGCCACAUCUCAGUGCUUGCUGGGUCAGGUACAGUGUUAGGUAAUGAAAAGAGUGGAAGGCAUAAGGCAGAGGUAUUUCAGGGCUGCACACUAGACAGAGUGGUUGGAUACUGGGAAAAAACACAUUGUGUUGCAAGGAAAGCUGCACAGAACUGCUUCGCCUGUGUUUCCUAAAAUUACUUCCUGAUGGUAUUAUUCUCUGCUGCAGAUCUGGACACAAAAAAGCAUCUGAUGCAGAUUAAUUUCACGCAGUUCUGCAGCAGAGCCCUAUGCCGUCACGUAGGCAUGAGCGAGCCUGUGCCUCCCUCCAGGACCCGCUUCCUUCCAAUGGUUCCCAGGCGAAAGCCAGCUACAUCUACCAACAGAAAUGCCACCUGCAGACCUGGGCUAACAGGAGGCAUUUUGAAUCUUUCCAGAUUCAUCUUUGAGCACAUAGGUGGAAGACAGUGUCACUGAUAGCUCUGCCAGCCUGUUUGGACAAACACCUCACCAUCAUUCAAUAAAGCCAUGCCGCACCUCGGGGAGACCUGCAGGAAAUGCCCAGAUCUGUGGGAGCAGAGUUGCAGAGUUAGGGUGGCAGUGGUAGAUACUUCUCUGUUCAUUUCAUGCUUUUCAGAAAUAAGUCAUUGAGUUUGAUGUUCCAGAAUGGCAUAAGAUGAUCUUAACAUUUUGUUGCCAACACUUUUAACAGGAUUUGGCUUGAGAAUUGACACUUCAGUGAGGAAUCAAGCAGCUGAAACUGCAGGUAGGCACUUGCUGCACUUUAAUGUGCUGAUCUACACACUGUUCAGAUUGAGAAAACUUUUUUUCACAACUGAAAAGCCAGAAACUUACAGUUUGUAAUGAAAGAUGAGAUUCAAAAUAUGGCACACUGGCCACACACACAUCAGGUGGGCCAAAUUUGGCCCACAUAUUUGGCAUCCCUGAUUUAAAACAUACCAAAGAAAAUAACCCAAGAAACAGUAUGUGAUCCCUAUAAAUAGCUACUCUCUAGGUAGUCGUUAGUCUGUGGUUUAUGAACAAAGUCUGUCCAAAGUUCCUGAAUAUUCACGGCCCGAUUUUGCCGAGUUGUAUGUCUAAUUCGGCUAACGCUUCCUGUUACAGAGAGUUGUCCUGCUUUCUUUUAUAGCCCUCUCAACUCUGUGGUAGCAUUUGGACAGUUUUUAUGCAGAGUUUAUUGAAAGAUUUUUGCACUGAUUUAGUGCAUGGGAUACCUGAGCCAAGUGAAACAGGAACUAUAUUCCUAAGGCAUGAAAAGGCAGAAAGAGAAUUUUCUUACGGAAAUUUAGUUUUUCCACAUUACUCAAUAGUCUAGAAAAUUAAUACCCUUCUGGCAGCACUUCCCACUGGAAAAAAAAUAUAUGUAGUUCCUACUCAGCCAAACAACAAUGUAGUGAUGUUUUAGGUUGGGUUAAACCUCUUAGAAACUGGCACGUGUCACAGCCACCUUGCCUUCAGUGAAAAAAAGGCAAUUGAGAUCCCUUAUGAAACAAGGGAUUUAUAUCAGUAGGGGCUACUACACAAAAAACAGGCACGUGGCAAGUUUUGAAUAGAUGGUGAAUCAUGUGGCCCAAGGGAUUUUUCUGGAUUUUGGGGGCAGGGGGUGUUUGUGUGUAAAAUGUCAGGCCAUGAAGACCAGAUGGUAGAGCUCUGCAUGUGCAAAAGAAACCGCAAGAAACACUACACAAAUGGAUGCUGAGAAGCAGCUGAAAGUCAAGGAGACUGGGAGCUUUGAUUUGGGAAGAAGACACUUCUUGAGUUGAGUGAUGGCUGAAAGAGGCUUGGGAUUGUGAGUCUUUCUGGGUUGAAACAUACAGAAUUUUGUAUAUUUGUUUUAUGAAUAAAUGGAAUUAACCUUGA